rnacentral:rRNA from 1 species
CAGCCGCCACGGGAAUACGAAGGGGGCUAGCGUUGCUCGGAAUUACUGGGCGUAAGGGGAGCGUAGGCGGGUCGUUUAGUCAGAGGUGAAAUCCCGGGGCUCAACCUCGGAACUGCCUUUGAUACUGGCGACCUUGAGGAUGGGAGAGGUAAGCGGAACUCCGAGUGUAGAGGUGAAAUUCGUAGAUGUUCGGAAGAACACCAGUGGCGAAGGCGGCUCACUGGACGACUGUUGACGCUGAGGUGCGAAAGCGUGGGGAGCAAACAGGAUUAGAUACCCCUGUAGUCCCUGUCUCUUAUAC